rnacentral:rRNA from 1 species
UAGUGGCGAACGGGUGAGUAACACGUGGGCAAUCUGCCCUGCACUCUGGGACAAGCCCUGGAAACGGGGUCUAAUACCGGAUAAUACUGUGCCCCUCAUGGGGGACGGUUAAAAGCUCCGGCGGUGCAGGAUGAGCCCGCGGCCUAUCAGCUUGUUGGUGGGGUAAUGGCCUACCAAGGCGACGACGGGUAGCCGGCCUGAGAGGGCGACCGGCCACACUGGGACUGAGACACGGCCCAGACUCCUACGGGAGGCAGCAGUGGGGAAUAUUGCACAAUGGGCGAAAGCCUGAUGCAGCGACGCCGCGUGAGGGAUGACGGCCUUCGGGUUGUAAACCUCUUUCAGCAGGGAAGAAGCGAAAGUGACGGUACCUGCAGAAGAAGCGCCGGCUAACUACGUGCCAGCAGCCGCGGUAAUACGUAGGGCGCAAGCGUUGUCCGGAAUUAUUGGGCGUAAAGAGCUCGUAGGCGGUUUGUCACGUCGGGUGUGAAAGCCCGGGGCUUAACCCCGGGUCUC